AGCAGCAAGACCAAGUGACAGUGAAGACUAGGAGUCCGCAGUGUGGGAACAAGAACUGAGCGUCCAGCGCCGGGCGAGCAGGUGCCUGUGGCGCGGAGCGCACCAGGGAGCCAGCAGGCAGUGGCCCAGGUGCCGACAGAGGUCAGAAGGGAGCAUAAGGUCCUCCGUCCCCACCCUCCAACCCAGACUGGAGUUCCAGCAGUUGUAAGCCAGCUGACAUGGGUACUGGCAACUGAACUUCGUGUUCCUCUGGAAGAGCUGCCUGAGCUGCCAGGUCCACCCCAACUUUGUCUUAAUAAAUUCCAACUUUGAUUCAUUCGGAAGUUCUCUGUGUGCCUUAAGAGCCAGGGUAAUCCUGAAUGAGUUCUCAGGAGAGCAUCUCCAGGCUGCCAAUGAAGACUGGCCACAUUCCUGAGAACUGACUUUCUGCAAAGCCUCCCAGAGGGCCCAAAUUUAGAACACACGAAGUAAGAAAAGAUGCCUUCUCUGUUGUGCCUGCAAACAUAAGGAACACUAUACACAUUUCUGGAAAGAACAGGAAACAGUUUUCUGUCAGAGUGAAAGCUUCAGGUGCAGAGACUGGAGCACGUGGAAGUUUGCAAGAGCAGAGGCCUUCAUCCUAUGUCUGUGGAUUCAAGAGGUUAUGCAGAAUCUGGGUGUUUUCUGUCUAAGUUCCUCUUCCCAUCUUACCACCUGCACAGCAGAAGGAGAAAGGGAUGGGGCAGAGCAAAUAUAAGGCUUCAGAACAUUGGGAGUUCAGAGCACAUAUACUUUAGGACAUGUCUAUAGAGCAGGCUAUCACAAUCCCCUGAGCCAGAUCUCAGUAAGUAUGUAGUCUUGUUUACAUACAAGACUUGUGGAUUUGUUUUUGUACCUGUUCUUCCUACUACGUAUUGUACUGGAACUGUAGAGCAUAGGGUGAACAGGGCAAAGGGAAAGCCCUCUUCCCUCUCACCAAGGAGCUGGACAUUGAAAUCUACCUCAUAGGAGGCUCCUGUUGCGUGGCCCUAUUCCUUGGAAGACAGGAACAGGUAUUUACUCACCCCAGAUAGGGAACUGAAGGACCCUACCACAGUCCAACAUGAUGAACCUCUGAGUUUUAUUGGGGUUACUUACAACAGAAAUGACUCUCUGCAGCCAUAAACCAGUCCCAAUUAAGUACUUUCUUUUUAUAAAAAUUGCUUUGGUGUCUCUUCACAGCAAUCGAGCACUGACUAGAAGAAUAUGCUUGGGGAAGGAGGGGCCUGGUGAAUCUUGAUAGUUUCAGGAAUUUCUGAAGCGUUUGAAUGGACAUUUUUAGCUUACUAAGCUUCCAUGCAGGAUAGAAGGUUUUAUCACCUUUCGAGCAUCCUGUUGUUUCACCUCUGUUUACAUCCUGUGUCUUAAGGACUUUCUGUCUAAAAUGGGAGGGUUUAGUUGUAAAGGAAGCCAUUGAACAACAGCUCCUUUGCCAUGGAAAUUUGAGAGCUAUCCCCAAAUUAGAUGUCAUCUAUCAAGUCAGAAGAGCACAGAGAACAAUGGCAAUAAAAUUAAAGAUAAAUAACUGAACUGUGUUAAAAAAUUAGGAUCUGUCUUAGUCAGUGUUCUAUUGCUGUGACGAACACUAUGACCACCGCAAGUCUUGCACAGGAAAUUGUGGCUCAUUUUCAAUUUCAGAGGUUUAGUCCAUUAAUGUCAUGGUAGGAAGCAUAGUAAUGCACAAACAAAUAUGGUGCUGAAGAGAUGACUGAGAAUUCUACCUCCAGAUCUGUAGGCAACAGGAAGAAAGAAGCAAUGAGCCUGGCUUGAACAUUUGAACCCCCCAAACCCACUUCCAGUGUACUAGCUGGUUUUAUGUGUCAACUUGACACAAGCUGCAGUUAUCACAAAAAGAGAAGCUUCAGUUGAGGAAAUGCCUCCAUGAGGUCCAGCUGUAAGGCAUUUUCUCAAUUAGUGAUCAAGAGGGGAGGGCCCAUUGUGUGUGGUGCCAUCCCUGGGCUGAUAGUCCAGGGUUCUAUAAGAGAGCAGGCUGAACAAGUGAGGGAAAGCAAGCCAGUAAGUAGCAUCCCUCCAUGGCCUCUGCACCUGCUCCUGCUUCCUGACCUGCUUGAGUUUCAGUCCUGACUUCCUUUGGUGAUAAACAGCAACGUGGUGUAAGCUGAAUAAAUCCUUUCCUCCCCAACUUGCUUCUUAGUCAUGAUGUUUGUGCAGGAAUAGAAACCCCGACUAAGACACCCAGUGACACACGUACUCCAACAAGGGCACACCUCCUAGUCCCUGUCAAAUAGCACCUAAUGACCAAAUAUUCAAAUAUAUGAGCCUUUGGGGACCAUUCCUAUUCAAACCAUCACAGUAUCUUCUGUAACGGUAAUGAAUGUGAAAGAGCAAGCCAUUGACUGGAAGAAAAUAUCCAUGAUACCAUGAAUAUGUCUGACAGAGGAAUUGAUAUCUGGAAUAUGUAAAGAAUGACUGGGCAUGGUGGUAUAAAUGUCAUCUCAGAACUAGAGGUCAGGUAUGAUGAAACCACAGCAGUCUGGGUUUCAUAGGGAAUUUAGAGGCAGCCUGUAAGGAGCAAUUGAAAUAUUAAAUGAAUGUGUAUUGUUUGGCUUGGACACAGCCAUAUCAAAGACCACAGCCUAAGCACUGUGGGAGUGGCUAAGCCUUCCCUAAGUGAGUUGCCAAAGGAUAAAAGAAUCUUUCUUGGGUCCUAAUGGGAAUGCUGAGAGUGUAUGGAGAAAAUGUCCACCAUUGAACACCCCCCCCCACACACACACACAUCCAUGUUUAUGGUCUGAAGACUGAUCCUCUAUAGAGAUUGCUCCUAUUGUGAUUAGUUAAACCUGUCUCCUUGUUCAUCUGUAUACAGUACCUCUACCUCCUUGUUUAUUUCUAUGCAAUAACCUACCUACUCACACGUAAUAAAGAUGCUGAGCUUCUGAAAAAAAAAAAAAAAAAA
rnacentral:lncRNA from 1 species